rnacentral:rRNA from 1 species
AGUGGCCUACGGGGCGCAGCAGUGGGGAAUAUUGCACAAUGGGGGAAACCCUGAUGCAGCGACGCCGCGUGAGUGAAGAAGUAUUUCGGUAUGUAAAGCUCUAUCAGCAGGGAAGAAGAAGGACGGUACCUGAGUAAGAAGCCCCGGCUAACUACGUGCCAGCAGCCGCGGUAAUACGUAGGGGGCAAGCGUUAUCCGGAUUUACUGGGUGUAAAGGGAGCGUAGACGGCGAUGCAAGCCAGAUGUGAAAGCCCGGGGCUCAACCCCGGGACUGCAUUUGGAACUGUAUAGCUGGAGUGUCGGAG